AUGGGACACAAUGUAUAAGGGAAACGAGUAUUUCCUUCCUUUGUCCGUAUUUUUCACACUUCAUUUUGUAUUCUUGUAUUGAAAUUUGAUAUAACAUAAUUUUAGUUGACAUUUACACAUUAAGUUGUGUAUAACAAGAAGACAGAAAAUAUUACAUUAAAAGAGAAUUUUCAAAAAUUUUGAUAAAAUUUUCCAUCAGGAAGUUCUGAUAAAACUUACACGAUGAUGAGACGUGCUGCUCCUACGAGGAAUCGUUUUCCAAAAGAAUUGCCAAAACCACAAGAAAAUCUGCAAAAAUCGUCACUACAGAAUCAACAGCAAGCUAAUACCUCUCAAGACAAGAAAGACACAUCCUUACCUAAAUGAUGAUGAUGAACUGCAAUGGAGCCUGGUUUAAUUUCUUUGCUUUUACACUUAACAUGUGGCAACUUUCAAUAAGUUUUAUAUUUUGUCUUUAAUAAAAUGAUGGAUUUUCCA